UCUCUCACGCUUGUAUCCCUCUCUCUCUCUCUCUCUCUCUAAGCAAACAACCCAUCUUCUCCACAGUUGUAUUGCUUUGCUCUUUCCUUUUUACAACAAACUCGAAUAUGGGUGUAAAACUCUAGUUGCCUUUCUCUCUCUCUCUCUCUCUCUCUCUCUCUCUCUCUCUCACACACACACACAAAAUCGCACACCCACCUGAUUGCCUCUCUAUCUCUCUUUCUUUUUCUCACCCAAUAGCCCAAGUGCACCGUUGCAAAUCGCAGUUUCUGUUGUGGAUUGAUUGUCAUUACCGCCUUUCACUGAUUGGCUUCUUCUGCUUUUAGGAGGUAUCAUGAAGUAUCUAAAAGUCAGGACCUUGUUCAGAAGGCAACGACGCUGAUCUAGGUUAAAUUAGAUGUAUGACCUAUUCAGUGAACACGGUAUUCAUCUCCGAGUUGACUUGAUGGGGUUAUUUAGGGUAUCUCCCUGUCCUAACACUCUUAACACAUUACACCAGACCUUAGCAGCACGUGAUCUACAGAUUGACCAGAGCAGUUUAUAGAAGCAACAAUUAUUAGCAAUUCCAGGGGGAUUCCCAUACCAUCUGCGGGUAUGGGAACACCGUUGCUCGGGACUGGUACCUAGAGCUGCCAGACGCGGUUCGUGACAUCGUCGACGAGGCCGGCUUCGGCAUCUUCUAUAGGGGGCUCUCCCGACUUACCACUUGCAGGCCCUUGCUUGCUGCUCUAGUGGAGAGGUGGUGGGAUACCACCAACUCCUUCCACUUCUCCGUUGCAGGGGACAUGACGAUGACCCCUUAUGACUUCUCGAUGCUUACCGGCAUCAGGGUAGGGGGUGAUCUGAUCCCCUUCGACACCGAUAUGGACGAGUGGGACGCUGCCCAGCGGUACCUGCUCGGCACUCAGCCUCCCCUCGCUCGAACAGGGUUCAUCAGGUACUCGUGGUUUGAGAGCCACUUCCGGAUCCAGCCGGCCUUGGUAGAGGAGGUGCAGAUGUCUCCGGAGGAGGUGGACCAGUACGCGCGGGGCUUCAUUAUAUUCCUUUUCGGGACGACCCUUUUCGCCGAUCGGGCGAACACCAUGCCCUUAUGCCUGUUGAGCGCGUUGGUGGACGUCAGGCGGAUCCACCAUUAUGACUGGGGUGGCGCCGCUCUGGCCACUUUGUACGGUUACAUGAGCUCUUCU